rnacentral:rRNA from 1 species
UGUGAAGGAAAGGUGAAAAGGACCCCGGGAGGGGAGUGAAAGAGAACCUGAAACCUUGUGCCUACAAGCACAUAGAGCCCGUCAAAGGGUGAUAUGGUACUUUUUGUAGAACGGUCCGGCGAGCGAUUGUACGUUGCGAGCUUAAGGUCUUAAGGACUGGAGGCGUAGCGAGAGCGAGUCUAAACAGGGCGUUUAGUAGCGUGCAAUGGGCCCGAAACCGGGUGACCUACCCAUGAUCAGGCUGAAGUGAAAGUAAAAUUUCAUGGAGGGCCGAACCGACCUCCGUUGAAAAGGCGGCGGAUGAAUUGUGGGUAGCGGAGAAAUUCCAAUCGAACUCGGAGAUAGCUGGUUCUCCCCGAAAUAGCUUUAGGGCUAGCCUCAUGUUAGAUAUCCGGAGGUAAAGCACUGAAUGGCCUAGCGUCCGAGAGGAUAGCGAAGCCUAUCAAACUAAGAAUGCCGGAAUAUUGAUGCAUGGGAGUCAGACAGUGUGAGAUAAAUCUCAUUGUCAAAAGGGAAACAGCCCAGAUCUACAGCUAAGGUCCCAAAUUGUAUCUAAGUGGAAAACGAUGUGGAAAUACGCAGACAACCAGGAUGUUGGCUCAGAAGCAGCCACUCAUUUAAAGAGUGCGUAAUAGCUCACUGGUCGAGCGUCUCUGCGCGGAAAAUUUAACGGGGCUAAGAUACAAACCGAAGCUUAGGCUGCAUAUGAAAGUAUGCGGGGUAGGGGAGCGUUGUGUAAGCGGAGAAACAGUAGCGGAAGCGGCUGUGGAGUUUACAGAAGUGAGAAUGCCGGAAUGAGUAGCGCGAAUGAUGUGAGAAUCAUCAUGGCCGGAAACCUCAGGUUUUUGGAGGAAGGUUCGUCCGCUCCAAGUUAGGCGGGAGCUAAGGUGAGGCCGAAAGGCGUAGCCGAUGCACAGACGGUAGAGAUUCCGUCCCCACCGAAAGAUUUAAGCGCAGGGACACUUUUAGAAGGUCGGAGCCAGGUGUUGGUUCUGGUAGAGAUCGAGGGAAAUUUAGUACCGAAGUCCGGCUGGAUAAGAGGCGAGAAAAGCUGCGUGUAUAUCUAAGGUGCCCGUACCGCAAACCGACACAGGUAGGUAGGAAGAAGAUUCUAAGGCCAACGGGAGAAGGGUUGUUAAGGAACUCGGCAAGUUGACCCCGUAACUUCGGAAUAAGGGGUGCUCAUGAAAGUGAGCCGCAGAGAAUAGGCCCAGGCAACUGUUUACCAAAAACACAGGUUUGUGCUAAAUCGAAAGAUGACGUAUACGAGCUGACGCCUGCCCGGUGCUGGAAGGUUAAAAGGAGAUGUGCAAGCAUUGAAUUGAAGCCCCAGUGAACGGCGGCCGUAACUAUAACGGUCCUAAGGUAGCGAAAUUCCUUGUCAGGUAAGUUCUGACCCGCAUGAAAGGCGUAAUGAUCUGGGCACUGUCUCAACAGCCCGCCCGGCGAAAUUGUAGUACCGGUGAAGAUGCCGGUUACCCGCGACAAGACGGAAAGACCCCAUGGAGCUUUACUGUAGCCUAAUAUUGGGUUUCGGUGUUGCAUGCACAGGAUAGAUGGGACGCUGGGAAGUGAGUGCUUUGGCAUUCAUGGAGCGGCCGUUGGGAUACCAUCCUUGCGACAUUGGAAUUCUAACCUGCGCCUCUGAAUCGAGGCGGGGGACAUUGUCAGCUUUCCGGAUACAGAAAACACGCAGGCGCUUAUUAACGACUACAAAGCGCGUCUGCGUGAUUUAGAAAACAAUAUCUGGCAGCACUAAACUGCCACUGACUCUAAGGCGGGCUUCGGCCCGCCUUUUCUUUAUGCAAAAUCAUUUCUCUGCGGUUGCCUCACCCGGUUUGGUCGUGAUGAGCUUAUACACCGCCGUAUCCUUGGGUUCCAGAUUGGAGAACGGUAUCAUGCUGUUGCCCAUCUUGAUAAUGCCGUGUCCCUCGCUGGCGUUGCGCAGAAAUUCCAGCUGCGGCUUGGACAGCCCGUACAGGCGUUCCAAGGCUUCCAGACUUUUCGAUUGCCGCAGCAUAAUGACAAACUCGCUGUUGGAAAGCAGCGCAUACGCCACGGGGUUAUCCAGAUAGUCCUGAAUAUCCUGCGAGAUGCCGGUGGCGUAGGCAUUGUACUUUCGGAAUCUUUUCCAAGAGGAAUACAGGAAAUUGGAACUCAUCGGGUCCUUUAACAGCACAUGAAUCUCAUCAAAGUAGAUCCAUGUAGCCGCCGUGGCGUCCUUGCGGCGGUUGGUCAUCACCUGCAUAUUGAUGAACUCCAGCAGGGACAUCAUGGCAAUCGGGCGGAGCUGGUCGCC